CACGCACACACGCGCGGCAUAUCAAUAAGCGGAGGAAAAGAAACUAACAAGGAUUCCCCUAGUAACGGCGAGUGAAGCGGGGAGAGCUCAAAUUUGAAAUCUUCAAGGGUUUCCCUUUACGAAUUGUAGUUUAAAGAAGUGUUUUCUGUUAGAGAGUUCGGUAAAAGUUCUUUGGAAUAGGACAUCAUAGAGGGUGCAGAAUCCCGUAUUUGACGUCACUUUCUACUAGCUGUUGCGAUACACUUUCAAGAGUCGGAUUGUUUGGGAAUGCAGUCCAAAAUGGGUGGUAAAUUUCAUCUAAAGCUAAAUAUUGGCGAGAGACCGAUAGCGAACAAGUACCGUGAGGGAAAGGAUGAAAAGAACUUUGAAAAGAGAGUUAAACAGUACGUGAAAUUGUCAAAAGGGAAGCGUUUGACACCAGUGUUGUUUUUCCGAAAAUCAAUUAUGAAUGUCUUGAUUUUGAGGGUUCAUGACCUUAAUAGGCUUGUUCCUUAUUUUCAUGUAACUUUCUUAAUGCACUUUUCGGUUAACAAGUCAACAUCAAUUUCUUUUGUUGUAAAAGGGUCUUGAGGAAGGUGGCUUUCUUUUCGGAGAAAGUGUUUAUAGCCCUGUGCCUCUACAAUCGGAGAGACUGAGGUCUGCAGCGUAGACUCUUCGGGGUUAGAUACAGUUUGUGCUAAGUUAUAGCUUUUCAUAGACAACUUGUUGACUAUAGUUAGUCUUGUAGCUUACUCGCUGAUGCUAUUUUACCUACGCUUAGGAUGUUGAUCUCUCACAGUCGAGC
rnacentral:rRNA from 1 species